ensembl:lincRNA
AUUGGAAGGAAAAUUCUGUACAUAUAAAUUCCCUUAUUUAUUUGACUCAAUUUGUAGAUAAAUGUAUAGAAAUAGAUUAAGUUGGAAAUUUGAGGUAUUAACCAUUUGUCUCUUCAAUGUGUUUUAAGUAGUGUAUGAGGAAACACUGAGACAAAUGGAAGGGAAAAUAAGUGGUUUAAGAGUGAUGGGAACUAUCCUAAACCCUACAAAUUUAAGGUUUCUCGGUGAAGCUAGAAUGAAGUUCAAGGCUGAGACCUGCAGCCAAGCAGAUAUCGCCCGUUAUUUACUACCUAGGCUUCAAUAGCACUUGAUAAUAGGGUUUGGUCUUGCCAACUUUGACAUUUAUUUGGAUCCGCCUGGGAGAUCAGGAGCCCAUCACAGGCACCCCCCACCUGCCCCAGGAGCUUCGGCAGGAGAAUUGCGUGAACUGGGAGGCCGAGGUUGCAGUGAGCCGAGAUCACACCAUUGCACUCCAGCCUGGGCAACAAGAGCGAAACUUCGUCUCAAAAAAAAAAAAGAAAGAAAAAGAAAGAAAACAGAAAACAGCAGCCUUGGACAAGCACAAUGGGCAGACUAGAAUUGCAGUGCACAGAUACAAGAAUGUUGCCUGCUUUGGAGCCAAGACUGCCUUCCGGAUAAAGGGCCCACAGAGAGCUGAGAGCUGUGUAAUACCUCAAAGACUGAAGAAAAGAGUUAGACAGCCAUCUUUCCUUAGAGGAUUUUGCUGCAGACAGCUUGAACUACCAGAAGGUUAUAUACUGACCAUGGGUAGAGAAAGGAAGAAAUACAUCCUUCGGAAAGGACAAUGAAGAUCUUUACAGCAGGGUGAGUAAACAGGCCAGUGUAAGUAGCUAAGCAAGAAGGCCACUUGCUAGGUGGUAUACAGUUGCUCAGUAUAUCACACACACACACACACACACACACACACAAAUAUUAGUUACACCUCUGAGAUGGGAUUCAUAAACACUUAAAAGUUUACACCAUGUGUAGAUAACACUGACCAUCAAACCCUUAAUAAUUUGUUUUGCUUUGCAGUCCCACAGGUCUAUGCCCAUCUAUUCAUUUUAGCAUCUGUUUUAUGUUUCAUAAUUACCUUUUAAAAUUUCUGUCUCCCCUUUGUGCUAUGAGGUCGUUUCAGCACUUAGGUGAGAAUCUGAAAUUGUAAAGAUAGUUCAAUUACAUUUUCGUUAUUAAUAUAGGCGGGGUAAAGUAAAAGUGCUGUAUUAGCUCAGAGGAGCAAAAAACAAUAUAAUCAAAUAGAUCUGUAGAUACCAGAAUUUUAAAAUUCUUCCUUCAGGAACUUUAAUGCCAUUUAAAAAUAUUUAUUGUGGAAUAUGUUAGACUUUGAGUCAUAGUGAUUUUUACCUCCUAACAUAAAGCUAAUUUUUACUGGAUUUCUUCUGAUAAUGAUGGUUAAGUGUGCAAGAGAUGGUAUCAGUCUAUUCAGCGUAUUAUUGAGAAUCCCCUCACUCUCCUUAAAUGAAUGGCUUAAGCAGCAGAUGUUCUAUACCCUAAAAGAUGCCAUGGCACGUCUCAGGUAAGAGCUGUCCUUGGAGUUGAAUGUUAUUUAUUACUAUGUAGGUACUAGAGAUUCAGAAACUUAAUGAUUUUUUUUCCUAACAGAAACUCCUUUUUCGCACUAUGAAUAAUUUACUGUUCUUUCUUCUUUGAACUCAACUGUAGAAUUGCGCAUAGACUAAUUUUUACUUUCGCUCCUUUCCCAGGUGAAAUUAAACAAAAAAUAUAGAAACUGAUCACUGAACUAAUGACUUUAGAUGAGUAUACUUUUAUGUAAAUUUUAAAAGAUUUGGUAAUUAAGAAUGAAUUUCAUUUCAACUUCAUUGUUCAUUUCCUCUUAAUUGUUACAACAAUUUAAUUCUAAACAUGAUAAAAUCACACCUUCCUGUUGCUACACCUGCAAGCUUUUUAAAGUUUGUUCAGAGUUUAGAUAGAUUAGGAAAUAAAGUGGAAAAUAACCAGGCAAAUAUUAUGUUUUAUUAAAAAAUUACAUUUCUGGCUGUGAAAUACUGAACUUAUUUAUACAUGAAAGAAGUUAUAUCAAUAUCAAAUUGAUAUAUUCAAAUGUCUGAUCCUGUCUUAAACAGGAAAACUACUUUGAAAGCAGCAAUAUUACCAACAAUGAAGGGAAAAAAUGUGUAGAAUCAUAUUAUUUUUAAUUUAUAAAAUAUCCUUGUUGCCAGUGGCAGAGACUUGUGAUCAUGAAAAGUAAUAUUGAAUAUAUUAUUCUACAAACAUUGAAUUUAAGUGUUUUUACAAGCAUUUCCAUUGUUUCUUAAAUCACAUAUCACUGUAAGGAGGAUAUAGUAUCUCCUUGUUAAAACUAAGGCAAUGAAAACAUCAGGAGUUAAAGUAAUCAAGGAAACACAAUUAUCAAAUAAAUUGGUACUACAACCCCCCGAUUUUUCUGCCCUCUCCAUUGUACUAUACUAUAAUCUCCAUAUUUGGAAUAUUAAUUACACUUUGAAAUCUUCAAGAAAUAUAAACAAAUACCAAUUCCACACUAUGUAGGUAUAAUAAAAGUAAAAUUUAUUUACAAAGUAAUAGAUUUUCAUUAAAAUCUUUCAAAAUUGUAGUAUGAGAACCUACGUUAAACCACUGGUAGAUGAAUUGCAAAGAAUGAUAAAGUAGAAACAGUAACUGUCCUGUUAAUAAAUAACCUUUAUAAGCUAUUAAAUAUUGUUUUAAUAGCUUAAAUAUGAAGAUGAUCUUUUUAAAAGCCUUGGACUUAAAAAUAAAUAUUUACUUAGGAACUAGAUAGAGCCAACAGUUUUGCCUAAAAGAACUAAGAAACAAUAAUCAAAUAUUCUAUAUUUGUCAUUAUUAUUAUUUCAGGAAAAUACCUCCUCUCCUAAAAAAUAUCACUUCCAUAUAUAUUUAUGGUAAACAUGUGAUAAGAUUUAUUGAGUAAUAUUUAUCUCAAUUGGAAAAUUUCUAUGCAAAAUAUUUUUUCAUUGUGUAACAUUUUAUUCCCUAUAGGGGCAUAUCUCAGGGGAACCUGAUGAAAGCCAACGCACAAUGUAAGAACUUUCACUGUAAGGAAAAUUUGAAGGCCUGGCAUGGUGGUGGCUCCCACCUAUGAUCCCAGCACUUUGGGAAGUGGAGGUGGGCAGAUCAUUUGAGGCCAACAGUUUGAGACCAGCCUGGGGUUUUAGUAGAAACCCCGUCUCUACUAAAAAUACAAAAAUUAGCCAGGUGUGCUGAUGCAUACCUGUAAUCCCAGCUACUCAGGAGCAUGAGCCAUGAGAAUUGCUUGAACUGGGUAGGCAAAUGUUGCAGUGAGCCGAGAUCGUGCCAUUGCACUCCAGCCAGGGCAACAGAGCUAGACUUCUUUUUUUUUUAAUUUUAUUAUUAUUAUUCUUUAAGUUUUAGGGUACAUGUGCACAACGUGCAGGUUUGUUACAUAUGUAUACAUGUGCCAUGUUGGUGUGCUGCACCCAUUAACUCGUCAUUUAGCAUUAGGUGUAUCUCCUAAUGCUAUCGCUCCCCCCUCCCCCCACCCCACAGCAGUCCCUGGUGUGUGAUGUUCCCCUUCCUGUGUCCAUGUGUUCUCAUUAUUCAGUUCCCACCUAUGAGUGAGAACACGCGGUGUGUGGUUUUUUGUCCUUGCGAUAGUUUACUGAGAAUGAUGGUUUCCAGCUUCAUCCAUGUCCCUACAAAGGACAUGAACUAGUCAUUUUUUAUGGCUGCAUAGUAUUCCAUAGUGUAUAUGUGCCACAUUUUCUUAAUCCAGUCUAUCAUUGUUGGACAUUUGGGUUGGUUCCAAGUCUUUGCUAUUGUGAAUAGUGCCACAAUAAACAUACGUGUGCACGAGUCUUUAUAGCAGCAUGAUUUAUAAUCCUUUGGGUAUAUACCCAGUAAUGGGAUGGCUGGGUCAAAUGGUAUUUCUAGUUCCAGAUCCCUGAGGAAUUGCCACACUGACUUCCACAAUGAUUGAACUAGUUUACAGUCCCACCAACAGUGUAAAAGUGUUCCUAUUUCUCCACAUCCUCUCCAGCACCUGUUGUUUCCUGACUUUUUAAUGAUUGCCAUUCUAACUGGUGUGAGAUGGUAUCUCAUUGUGGUUUUGAUUUGCAUUUCUCUGAUGGCCAGUGAUGAUGAGCAUUUUUUCAUGUGUUUUUUGGCUGCAUAAAUGUCUUCUUUUGAGAAGUGUCUGUUCAUACCCUUUGCCCACUUUUUGAUGGGGUUGUUUGUUUUUUUCUUGUAGAUUUGUUUGAGUUCAUUGUAGAUUCUGGAUAUUAGCCCUUCCCUUUGUCAGAUGAGUAGGUUUGCAAAAAUUUUCUCCCAUUCUGUAGGUUGCCUGUUCACUCUGAUGGUAGUUUCUUUUGCUGUGCAGAAGCUCUUUAGUUUAAUUAGAUCCCAUUUGUCAAUUUUGGCUUUUGUUGCCACUGCUUUUUGUGUUUUAGACAUGAAGUCCUUGCCCAUGCCUAUGUCCUGAAUGGUAUUGCCUAGGUUUUCUUCUAGGGUUUUUAUGGUUUUAGGUCUAACAUGUAAGUCUUUAAUCCAUCUUGAAUUAAUUUUUGUCUAAGGUGUAAGGAAGACUCUUGUCUACAAAAAAAAAAAAGAAAAAAGAAAAGAAAAUUUGAAGGUAUGAAUUACUCUAAAAUGUGAUUGUAACUUUAUGUUUAUUUAUUUGUAUAUAUGAAAAAAUCUAUUUCAGUGAGACUUGGUGGCAUGCUUGGUGUGUCUCCUGGAUAGCAAAAUUAUGGUAAAAUAUGGUAAAAUGCUAAUAUUUGGGAUAUUUUUCUUUGACUGUAUUGAUUUAAUGGAACCUAUUCAUGAUAGAAAGGAAAGAGAAAGACAAGAUUCCUAUGCUAACAUCAUCCUUCUACUUCAAUUCAUCUAAUAAGUGUAAAUAACAAGUAACAGAAUUGCCUCCUUUAAUUUAUUUUGAAUAUUAUUUUAAUGAAAAUAUCCAGUGUCUAAAUUUCAAAUGAUGCUUACAUAAAACUAUGAAAG